rnacentral:rRNA from 1 species
UGAAUACGAGAUGCUACGGCGUCGAAGCAGUCUAUGUCAUACUUCCAAGAAAAGCUUGCACUGUCAUAAACAAAUAAUGCCUGUACCAUAACCGACACAGGUGGGUAGGUAGAGUAUACUAAGGGGCGCGAGAUAACUCUCUCUAAGGAACUCGGCAAAAUGACUCCGUAACUUCGGGAGAAGGAGUGCCUUAUUUAUAAGGUUGCAAUAACAAGACCCAAGCAACUGUUUAUCAAAAACACAGGUCUCCGCUAAGUCGUAAGACGAUGUAUGGGGGCUGACGCCUGCCCAGUGCCAGAAGGUUAAAGAAGUUGGUUAGCAUUAGCGAAGCUGAUGACUGAAGCCCUGGUGAACGGCGGCCGUAACUAUAACGGUCCUAAGGUAGCGAAAUUCCUUGUCGGGUAAGUUCCGACCCGCACGAAAGGCGUAAUGAUUUGGGUACUGUCUCAGAGAGGGACUCGGUGAAAUAGACUUGUCUGUGAAGAUGCGGACUACCUGCACCUGGACAGAAAGACCCUAUGAAGCUUUACUGUAACCUGAAAUUGAAAUUGGACUUUAUUUGCGCAGUAUAGGUGGGAGGCUUUGAAGAUAUUCUUGCGGGAAUGUUGGAGCCAUCAGUGAGAUACCACUCUUGUAAUGUUAGAUUUCUAACUUUGUAUCAUUAUCUGGUCAAAGAACAGUUUCAGGCGGGCAGUUUGACUGGGGCGGUCGCCUCCUAAACGGUAACGGAGGCGCACAAAGGUUUCCUCUGAACGGGUAGAAAUCGUAUCUAGAGUGUAAAGGCAUAAGGAAGCUUGACUGUGAGACCUACAAGUCGAGCAGGGACGAAAGUCGGUCUUAGUGAUCUGACGGUGCUGAGUGGAAAGGCCGUCACUCAACGGAUAAAAGUUACUCUAGGAUAACAGGCUGAUCUCCCCCAAGAGUUCACAUCGACGGGGAGGUUUGGCACCUCGAUGUCGGCUCAUCGCAUCCUGGGGCGGUAGUACGUCCCAAGGGUUGGGCUGUUCGCCCAUGAAAGCGGUACGCGAGCUGGGUUCAGAACGUCGUGAGACAGUUCGGUCCAUAUCCGGUGUAGGCGUUAGAAUAUUGAGAGGAGCCUUCUCUAGUACGAGAGGACCGAGAAGGACACACCUCUGGUGUACCAGUUAUCGUGCCAACGGUAAACGCUGGGUAGCUAUGUGUGGAGCGGAUAACCGCUGAAAGCAUCUAAGUGGGAAGCCCACCUCAAGAUAAGUAUUCUCACCAUAUUGGUUAAGGUCACGGGUAGAACACCCGUUGAU